rnacentral:rRNA from 1 species
GAUGAACGCUGGCGGCGUGCCUAACACAUGCGAGUCGAACGGAGUCGUUUUGGAAAUCUCUUCGGAGAUGGAAUUCUCGACUUAGUGGCGGACGGGUGAGUAACGCGUGAGCAAUCUGCCUUUAAGAGGGGGAUAACAGUCGGAAACGGCUGCUAAUACCGCAUAAAGCAUUAAAUUCGCAUGUUUUUGAUGCCAAAGGAGCAAUCCGCUUUUAGAUGAGCUCGCGUCUGAUUAGCUAGUUGGCGGGGUAACGGCCCACCAAGGCGACGAUCAGUAGCCGGACUGAGAGGUUGAACGGCCACAUUGGGACUGAGACACGGCCCAGACUCCUACGGGAGGCAGCAGUGGGGAAUAUUGCGCAAUGGGGGAAACCCUGACGCAGCAACGCCGCGUGAUUGAAGAAGGCCUUCGGGUUGUAAAGAUCUUUAAUCAGGGACGAAACAAAUGACGGUACCUGAAGAAUAAGCUCCGGCUAACUACGUG